rnacentral:lncRNA from 1 species
CUUUGACAGAUAAUGAAUUUGGAAUUAGUAUAUUUGCUGUAAAGCUAAAACGCCAUGUUGAAAUGUAUCAAUGGGUUGAACAUGAAAACAAGAGAGAGUACAAGGAAGGUGAUCAAACAAGAAUUGAAACAACAUAUUCAUAUUCAAAAGAAUGGCGAUCUGAAAUCAUCAAUAGUGGCAGAUUUAAUGUUCCAACAUUGCAUCAAAA